UUAUUGGAGAGUUUGAUCCUGGCUCAGGAUGAACGCUGGCGGCGUGCCUAAUACAUGCAAGUCGAGCGAAUGGAUUGAGAGCUUGCUCUCAAGAAGUUAGCGGCGGACGGGUGAGUAACACGUGGGUAACCUGCCCAUAAGACUGGGAUAACUCCGGGAAACCGGGGCUAAUACCGGAUAACAUUUUGAACUGCAUGGUUCGAAAUUGAAAGGCGGCUUCGGCUGUCACUUAUGGAUGGACCCGCGUCGCAUUAGCUAGUUGGUGAGGUAACGGCUCACCAAGGCAACGAUGCGUAGCCGACCUGAGAGGGUGAUCGGCCACACUGGGACUGAGACACGGCCCAGACUCCUACGGGAGGCAGCAGUAGGGAAUCUUCCGCAAUGGACGAAAGUCUGACGGAGCAACGCCGCGUGAGUGAUGAAGGCUUUCGGGUCGUAAAACUCUGUUGUUAGGGAAGAACAAGUGCUAGUUGAAUAAGCUGGCACCUUGACGGUACCUAACCAGAAAGCCACGGCUAACUACGUGCCAGCAGCCGCGGUAAUACGUAGGUGGCAAGCGUUAUCCGGAAUUAUUGGGCGUAA
rnacentral:rRNA from 1 species